UACGAAGGAUCCAAGCGUUAUCCGGAUUUAUUGGGUUUAAAGGGUGCGUAGGCGGGCUAUUAAGUCAGUGGUGAAAGCCUGCAGCUUAACUGCAGAAUUGCCAUUGAUACUGAUGGUCUUGAAUACCGUGGAGGUCAGUAGAAUAUGUCAUGUAGCGGUGAAAUGCUUAGAUAUGACAUAGAAUACCAAUUGCGGAGGCAGCUGGCUACACGAAUAUUGACACUCAGGCACGAAAGCGUGGGGAUCAAACAGG
rnacentral:rRNA from 1 species